AUUGAACGCUGGCGGCAGGCCUAACACAUACAAGUCGAGCGAGCGGCGGACGGGUGAGUAAUGUAUGGGGACUGCCCGAUAGAGGGGGAUAACUACUGGAAACGGUAGCUACUACUGCAUCCUAUCGGAUAACCCAUAUGGGAUUAGCUAGUAGGUGGGUUAAUGGCUCACCUGGGCGACGAUCCCUAGCUGGUCGGAGAGGAUGAUCAGCCACACUGGGACGGAGACACGGCCAGGACUCCUACGGAGGAAGUAGUGGGGAAUAUUGCAAAAUGGGCGCAAGCCUGAUGCAGCCAUGCCGCGUGUAUGAAGAAGGCCCUAGGGUUGUAAAGUACUUUCAGUCGGGAGGCGUUACCGACAGAAGAAGCACCGGCUAACUACGUGCCAGCAGCCGCGGUAAUUC
rnacentral:rRNA from 1 species